AGUGAACGCUGGCGGUAGGCCUAACACAUGCAAGUCGAACGGCAGCACAGGAGAGCUUGCUCUCUGGGUGGCGAGUGGCGGACGGGUGAGGAAUACAUCGGAAUCUACUUUGUCGUGGGGGAUAACGUAGGGAAACUUACGCUAAUACCGCAUACGACCUACGGGUGAAAGCAGGGGAUCUUCGGACCUUGCGCGAUUGAAUGAGCCGAUGUCGGAUUAGCUAGUUGGCGGGGUAAAGGCCCACCAAGGCGACGAUCCGUAGCUGGUCUGAGAGGAUGAUCAGCCACACUGGAACUGAGACACGGUCCAGACUCCUACGGGAGGCAGCAGUGGGGAAUAUUGGACAAUGGGCGCAAGCCUGAUCCAGCCAUACCGCGUGGGUGAAGAAGGCCUUCGGGUUGUAAAGCCCUUUUGUUGGGAAAGAAAUCCAGCCGGCUAAUACCUGGUUGGGAUGACGGUACCCAAAGAAUAAGCACCGGCUAACUUCGUGCCAGCAGCCGCGGUAAUACGAAGGGUGCAAGCGUUACUCGGAAUUACUGGGCGUAAAGCGUGCGUAGGUGGUUAUUUAAGUCCGUUGUGAAAGCCCUGGGCUCAACCUGGGAACUGCAGUGGAUACUGGAUGACUAGAAUGUAGUAGAGGGUAGCGGAAUUCCUGGUGUAGCAGUGAAAUGCGUAGAGAUCAGGAGGAACAUCCAUGGCGAAGGCAGCUACCUGGACCAACAUUGACACUGAGGCACGAAAGCGUGGGGAGCAAACAGG
rnacentral:rRNA from 1 species